rnacentral:tRNA from 1 species
UGUUAUGUGGCUUAGUUGGGUCAAGCGCCGGUCUAGCGAAUACAGAGUCGUGGGUUCGAAUCCCAUCAGAACGC